GAGAACAAAUAAUACAAAUAAGACAAAUGAAAAAUGCAAAAGUAUACGUAUUAUUUUUGCUUUUUGAGGCAAAUGAGAUAAUGUUUCUGACUCUCACAGGUUCAAUAUUUUAACUCAUCAGUCACCAAUCUUGCAAUAGUCCUGCAGGAAAUGUUAAGAAACUGAAGAGAGCAUCAACGAAAUCCUUCCCUGCCUCAGCAUACAGAACUAUGUUCCUCAUAACUCUCAAGCGACUGAUUGAGUUGAAGUGACGAUGAGAUUCAGGACCGUCCUACCAGUUAGUACCCUGGAGAUGGGAAGGUAGUUAGUCAUACCUGAUCGAUGUUGUGUCAAAAGGAUCUUACGGGGCGCGUGGAGAUCACCUGGGAUGUAUAGUUUUUGUAGCAUGAUUAGAUUAGAUAAUGUAUAGGGACUAGAUGUCUUCCUUUUGCGGUUGUAGUUACUUUAUUUUGGAAGACUCUACCUAUACCUUAUAUUGUCAGUUUGACUUUUGUUUUGAUGAGUCCAUGUACCAUUUUUUAUGCGACGUGGGAAAGUUAAAAAUUCUUGGGGCAGUGCUUUUGUGCAGGUGUCUGUCGAGAAUACCCCAGGGGUAUGAGCUAUGUUUGAUAGGACUCAUAGCCCCAGUGUAUUUUGUUGUUUAAAUACUCUGGGUUUGUGUUUCAAAAACUAUUUCUGCUGCUUGUAAA